CCUACGGGUGGCAGCAGUAGGGAAUUUUGCGCAAUGGGGGAAACCCUGACGCAGCAACGCCGCGUGAUUGAUGAAGCCCUUCGGGGUGUAAAGAUCUGUCAGUGGGGACGAAACUUGACGGUACCCACAGAGGAAGCAUCGGCUAACUCCGUGCCAGCAGCCGCGGUAAUACGGGGGAUGCAAGCGUUGUCCGGAAUCAUUGGGCGUAAAGAGUUCGUAGGUGGCACGUUAAGUCUGGUGUUAAAUGCAGAGGCUCAACCUCUGUUCGGCACUGGAUACUGGCGAGCUUGAAUGCGGUAGAGGUAAAGGGAAUUCCUGGUGUAGCGGUGAAAUGCGUAGAUAUCUGGAGGAACAUCAGUGGCGAAGGCGACUAUCUGGCACAUAACUGACGCUGAGGAGCGAAAGCGUGGGUAGCAAACAGGAUUAGAUACCCGAGUAGUC
rnacentral:rRNA from 1 species